GGGGGGGGAGAGCUAGUCCUGGGACUUCUCCGACUUGAACCAUAGCCGCACCGGGAUCAGAGGUUACCUGAAAGGGCAUCUAGCCGAACCCCUCUUGCCGAGGCGGGGAAAAAAAUGCUGCCACCGAUUUUCAAGGCUCUGUUGACUCUCCGUCUCCCACAGUCCAAGGUGCAUAAGCAGCAGGGUGAAAUAACGGGAUCGUAUCACUUCCCAAGGCUGAGGGGGAAGGGGGCUCCUGCGCGUUCCCAUUUCGAUCAGAGCAUUGGACACGACACGUGUUUCCUUCCCCCUCCCCCCCACACACACAUCCAUCUCUAUAUUAGUGGGGUGAGCCUGUAUUGGCCACUAACAGAAUUGCUCCUCUUGUUUGCUUCUAAAGCCCCCCCCCUGUGUCAAAGGCUAUGUCUGCAUUCUCUCUCGCCCGCAUUUCAGUAACAAGAGUUGGAAGGGACCUUGGAGGACAUCUAGCCCAACCCCCUGCUCACGCAGGAGACCUAUACUCGGGAUUCGAACCGCCGACCUUUCUGAUCGACGAGCUCAGCGUCUUAGCCACUGAGCCACCUAGCCAAGCCAUCUUUCCAAGAUGCUCCUCCCUUCCGCCCUCCAGGGAAGGGAUUGGGGGGGGGGUCUCCUUUUUCUCCCCUUCCCUAAACGAACGGGGUCUCACCCCCCUCCCUCCGUCCCGGAACGAUGCGUGUGUGUGUGUGUGUGUGUGUGUGUGUGUGUGUGUUUGUGUGCGCAGCGCCUAGCGCAGAUGUGGGGUUUUCCGAAGCUUCCGCGAGAUUCCUCCACGUUGCCCGUCCGCUGUUUUUCCCGAACUCCACGUUGCAAAUCCCCGCGGCUCCUGACUCCGCGAAAACAUUGUCUCCAUGGCAACGGUCAACUCCUCCGCCGCCGCCCGCGGGAGUGAACUUGCACCACGGUGAUGUCAGGCUGGCGUGGAAGAAGAGUUCACUGGCGAGCACGGAUUGCCUUCAGGCGGAGACGCCUGGUUACCUAGUACACAAAGCGUGCCAGGAUCUCGUUUGUGCAAGAAUGGAAAUCCAAAAAUAUUCCAUCGGAGGCUAUGUUAACCGCAAAGAUCAUGGAUUGUGCAGAGGCAGACAAGCUUACCGGACUCUUGCGAGAUAGACAAGAAUCGGAGCUAUAUAUUAGUUGGGACCGGUGGUAUGCUUGGCUGCAAAAAAGAAAUCUGAAGAAGAAUGUAAAAUAAUAAUCUUAGUGUGACUGGGGGUGAAUAUUUAUAGGAAUAUUGCAUGGCAGUUGAGAAUUCUUUCUUCUGGAUAAUCUUUUCUUUUUUUGAUGAUUUGGUUUAAUGGAGGUUUGUACUAUUUCUAGGCGAAAACUGAUACCUUAAAACUCUAUAUGUAUUAUAUUA